rnacentral:rRNA from 1 species
AAUGAACGCUGGCGGCAUGGAUGAGGCAUGCAAGUCGGACGGAGAGGCCCCGCAAGGGGCCGAUCAGUGGCGCAAGGGUGAGUAACACGUGAGCAAUCCGCCCCCGAGUCCGGGACAGCUCCGGGAAACUGGAAUUAAUACCGGAUGCGGCGUGCGGGCCGCAUGGCCUGCCCGCCAAAGGUUGACUCCGCCCGGGGAGGAGCUCGCGGCCCAUUAGCUGGUUGGCGGGGUAACGGCCCACCAAGGCUGAGACGGGUAGGUGGUCUGAGAGGAUGGUCACCCACACUGGGACUGAGACACUGCCCAGACUCCUACGGGAGGCUGCAGUCGAGAAUCUUCCGCAAUGGGCGCAAGCCUGACGGAGCAAUGCCGCGUGAGGGACGAAGGCCUUCGGGUCGUAAACCUCUGUCAUCCGGGACGAAGCCAUGACGGUACCGGAAAGGAAGCCACGGCUAACCACGUG